ACAAUAGGUGUUAAAUGUCAUCAUCCAUGUAGCCUAGAAACAAAUGAUACAUACUAGUUGCAAUGCUUGUAUCAAAGAGAAGUGUUAAGAUGUUUUCAUACAUGCUCUGCAGCUUUUCAAACACUUGUGUAACAGAGGGGCAGCUCUGUAGUCGGACAUUAGCCUGCCAGCUCACUGGUAGUAAGAGUGUGUGUGUGUGUGUGUGGGGUGCUGGAUUGUGCUGAUAUGUGAAGGCCAAGUGGAUUUAUAUACAAGUAUAUCUUGCUCACAUUUCCUCCACUGAACCACAAAGAGUAUAUUCUGUAGUGCAAAUGAUUGUGAAAUGGACCAUUUUCUGGUGUGUACAUGAAUACAGCUUCAUGGUGUGGUUAAUGAAAUAUUUAAACGUGGUUCGGAUCAAAGUUCAGUUUCUAAAACGUUUAUCUCCUCUCUCCUGCUUCCACAGGGACUGUCGGGACAGGUGAAAACAGCAUAAGUUGUCUGGCUUUGCUACGUGACUGGUUGCCCUUCAAGUUUUUGUCAUAACCUCCAACACAGCAUUCUCAUAAAGGACAGAAGACCCAGUGUUAAACUCGCAGCUCUGUACAGGAAGAUACAAACAAAUAAUGGAAAAGACUUGAAGGGCAAGAUUUGCCUGUGGAGCUCAGUUGUGACAUAAGGAGACCCUCCACAUCCACACUACACCCAACCACUGAAACACACAUGCACAUUGAAUAUGCGAAAUGAGGGGGAGAGAAAUAAAGUUCAACCUGUUGUCACUACAUUUUGUCAGCCGCAAUCUUUACAUGAAGAGAAGUGUGGGGACAAAAGAGAGAGGAUGAAACACUAACCAAAGACGGACCUUCCUCACAGCUCCUUGCGCUCUUCUGUAGGUCUCCACAAUGAUUUAAAAAAAAAAAAAUAGUAAUUAAAAGGAUUUUUUGUAACAUACAUACACAAAGACAAUAACAGAUGAUGUGACGUGACAGAAGACAAAAGAACAGUGGUAGACCCUGCCCAUCAGACCUGCUGGCUUAAACACUUGAGGUUGGAGUAGGUCGCUCUUUAAGGCUUUUAUAUCCACAGAAGCUGAAGUUGUUAACGUGUCUGUUUAAGUGUCAACAUUUUCUGUGUGCGUGUCUCCCACUCCCUCCUUUAAACUCUAAGGGACUUCUGCCAAAGUGACCUCUCCUGUUUGUUUUCUCCUCCUGUACUCACUUUGGCCCCUCAGGAAUCGGCGUUCCCACCACCGCUCAGACCUUUCAGAUCUGACGCGGAGGAGCUGCAACCGUCUCCCGCUCGCUUCUGCUACAAUAAAAAUGCUUUUUAGAGUUCACCGAGUCGGUGAUUUGUUCCCCGCUGAAAAGAAAAGAAAACUUUAGUGAAUAUCAGAAAUGUAUACGUCUGAUUUUGGUUGAUUUAUUUCUGGGCGAUACGGGGCAAAAAUCAGUUUUUCCUUUGAUUCUCUGCAGCUCAGUGAUUGCUUUAUUCGAUUGAUCUUUGUUGUGUGAAAGUGUAAGGAAAAACAGCCUGGUCUCAGUCGUCAUCUCCCCGCUCUUUUCCUCCGGUCCCUCAGUCUUCCACUGGCACUUCGUGCCAUCUCUCCCCUAUGUUCUCGCUCCUCAUCAUGUUGCCUUCAGUCUCACCACUUCAGAUUCAGUGUUGUUUUGAUUUUUUUCCUAAGGGGGCAGGUGUCCAGGUUUUUUUUGUUUGGCUGUUUUGAGAAAUCAAUUACUUUAUAUUUAUUUUAUGAGCCCUCUGAUUUAUUUGACCCCCACCCCCCCAUUUUCCUUUCCUUUCUUCUGAUUAGGGGUUUGCUUUAAAGUUUUUGAUGUAUAUAUCAUAUCACACUAGGGGAAAUAUUUAGUUUUUCUUUUGUUUUUUGAGGGGGGAGGGGCUCUAAUAAAAAUGAGAGGAAGGGUAAAUAAGAUUGAAUGAUUAGAAACGGUAACAGCAAAACAAAGAAGCGGUGGGCAUAAGAGGCAACAUAUUUUAAAGCUGCGCUGCUGUGUGAAUCUGUGGCCACAAGGGGGCAGUGAUGGCUGUUUCCCCACAGGCCCAAAGGAGAUCACAGUCUGAGCAGAAUCACGUGCUGAUGUCUGUAAAAAUCCAACUCCUGACCAUAGUUUUUCAGAGCAGGGCAGUUAGAAGGUAUCUCUACUUUGAUAAUUCCUCCCUGAAGCAGAUACCGGCAGGUUGGAUUUCUUUUCCUGCCGACGGAGCAGCAUUCAACCUUCCUGCUCUUCUACACCCAAACGAUAGUUUGCUCCCACUGUUUGUAAUGCUUUAAUUUUAGAUUUUUCUUUUUUUUAAAGAAUAAUUUGUUAACUUAAUUAAACUGUGCUGGUAAUCACAAAGUUAUGUAUGGCAAAAUUUGUUCCUCAAAUAAAUGCAUGUAAUAACUAAUAAUAUGACUGAAUGUAUGUUUCAAUGGAAAAUACUCCACUUGGAGCUGCACACGAAUGCAUGAAUGACAGCAAGAAUGAUUUGGAUGAAGUUUUGGGUUACAAAUAAUGUAAUAACAGACCAGGCUCAAUAUGUUGCAGUAACGGCAAUUAAAAUGGUGUUAAGAAGUGCAGCAAGCAGCACUGACAUGAUUACGGCUCCUCUGAAAGGAAAGAAAUGUGCUGUUGCUCUUUUGUUCUUUUUGGCUUGUUUUCUGCACUGCUGAGCGGCUCCUCGCAGGCACGUUAAACCAAAGCCUGUCACUGAUAACGAUGUUACUUGAACGUCGGAUGCUGUGUCAUUAAUGUGGUUUUUGUUUUUGUUUUUUACACAUAGUUUCAAGUUGCAUGCACACUUUUCAAGCUUGUCAGGCUGUUCUCAAAUUCUGAUUAACAACCACCAACACACACACACACACACACACACACACACACACACACACACCUUUUGCUCCAACUAACAGAAAUCGGACUUAUACUUGAGACAUCUCUACAUUUGAGUCCCUUUAGACCAGUGAUACCCAACCUGAAGACGCUCCAAAAAUGAAAGAUCUUAAGACAGUCCUCUGCUUUUUGCUUUGGAUGCUUAAUUUAUUUGUUUUCAGAUAAGACAAUUUUACAGUAGACCAUAGCAACUUAUUGAGCAAAGAUCCCCAUGUUAAGAACUUGACCAGGACUAAAAUACUGUGUGACCAAACGCACUGACACAUCCAUGCAUUUUACUCUUUAUAGGACAUGUUUGGCUGAUGUAAUGAGAGUAUACUGUUAGUUUCAGGUCUUCACAUAUUAUCUCAAUCGUAAGAAAAGAUUUGAAAUUAAGGUGUUUUUUGAAAGCUGACUUUAUCGUUGUAUUUCUGGUGGCUCAAUACUGCAGUGGUUUAUUCAUUCGCUUCACAAUGGAGAAGGAUCCUGGGGAGGAGAUACAAAUCCCUCUGUGGUGAUGUCAAGAAGUGCACCUGGCACCUACAUAAAUAAAUCUAUCAAAUCAAACGUGCUGCCUGCUGUGGUGACCGAUUGUCAAUAAGGAAGUUGCUAAAAGUAGCAUUACAAAAACUCCAUGAAGACAUCAAUAAGUGUGAAAAUCUUUAUACUCUGUCCACCUGUUCAACAUUUAUUCAUUUAUUUUUAUUCUUUGCUAAAUAUUUGCAUGUUUCAUUUUGUGAAUAAUGAGGCUGUUUCCUAGCAUUUACCAACUGGCACCAGGGGACUCGUUUGGAUUUAUCGUCAGUCAAAUUUCAUAGCAGGCUGAUGGAAAAUAAACAAGUGUCCCAUUUCUCUGCACCAGGGUUUCACAGCCUUUAAAUUUAAAGUUGGCUUCAGAAAAAGGAGAAAAGCAUGUUUUAGCUACCUUCUUUUGUUCCUUAAGAUCCUUGUUUCUCUCUCCCUCCUGUCCUAUGGUCAUUUCUAUUUCAUGCCUUUGAAAUUAAGUAUAAAACAAAAAGAAGUCAUGGCGUUAUUAUUAGAACACCACAGAGAUUCCAGGAGAAACACUUCCCUCUCCUGAAACUAUUCCCCAGUGUGAACCGACUCAUCCCUCUAGGGUGUAGUAGGCUGUCCUGGAGUGAAGGUGUGGAGAGCGAUGGGAGCUCUGCUCUGUAUGUUUUACUAUACAAAUUCUUGACCACACAAAUCCACCCCGCCCAAUUAUAUAAGAAUGAGAGAAAAUUGAGAAGAGGCCCCAAAGUGGUGCAAGUUUCAAGUAAAUGUCACAGAGUUUCUUUGUUUUUUGUUUUCAAAGUUACAUUAUGAAUCCUGAAAUGCUGAAGAAAGUACCAGAAAUGGCUCAUCUUUGCAUUUUGAAUCACUAUUUUUUUGUUUUUCAUGUUUGUAAACUUUUACAGUUGUAAACAGAAACUGUGAUCUUUCCUUUACUUCAACUGCUGUAAGGGGCGAUGCUCUGACCACUCAGCUGGUUUGUUAUUAUUAAUUCAUUUUUAAUUAUGUCAUUUUCCAGAGGCCAGACACCAAACUACUCGAUUAUUUAAGAAGAAAAGAAAUAUAUUUUAAUGUUAGCCCUCAAGUUUGGAACCACAGGCCUACAUUCAUUCAAUCUUCAGUUUUCUUCUGUGUUCACCGAUUGCAACAGUUAUCUGUGAUGCCACAAAACGUCCUUCCUGUCAUCAGUGCCUGUAAUCACCCACCCAAACCUGCCCUGCAGUCAGUGUAGUGUAAUCACGUUCGGUGUAGAUUUGGAGGAUUUUCUUCUCAGUCUGGACUCUUACAUCUCGGGACACAAACUGUGUGACACUGUUGCUGCACAGUUUUGGUUUUGUUGCAUCCGUGGGGAAAUUCUCGUUGAAAUAAAACAUUCCUAAUGUUC
ensembl:lncRNA